GACGAACGCUGGCGGCGUGCCUAAUACAUGCAAGUCGAACGCAGUGGGGACGGGUGAGUAACACGUGGGUAACCUCCCAUCAGAGGGGAUAACACUUGGAAACAGGUGCUAAACCGUUACUGCUGGAGGGACUCGCGGUUCAUUCGCUAGUUGGUGAGGUAACGGCCCACCAAGGCCACGAUGCCUAGCGGACCUGAGAGGAUGAUCGGCCACACUGGGACUGAGACACGGCCCAGACUCCUACGGUAGGCAGCAGUGGGGAAUCUUCGGCAAUGGACGAAAGUCUGACCGAGCAACGCCGCGUGAGUGAAGAAGGUUUUCGGAUCGUAAAGCUCUGUUGUUAGGGAGGCGGUAUCUAACCAGAAAGCCACGGCUAACUACGUGCCAGCAGCCGCGGUAAUAC
rnacentral:rRNA from 1 species